rnacentral:rRNA from 1 species
GACGAACGCUGGCGGCGUGCUUAACACAUGCAAGUCGAGCGGAGCGGCGAACGGGUGAGUAACGCGUGAGUAACUGCCCCCCUCUCUGGGAUAACAGUUGGAAACGGCUGCUAAUACCGGUUAGUGGGGGAUGACUCGCGUCCUAUCAGCUUGGUGGUGGGGUAGUGGCCUACCAAGGCGACGACGGGUAGCCGGCCGUAGAGGGCGACCGGCCACAUUGGUCUGAUCGUCGGCCCAAACUCCUACGGUGGGCAGCCGUGGGGAAUAUUGCACAAAGGGCGCAAGCCUGGUGCAGCCAUGCCGCGUGUCUGAAGAGGGCCUUCGGGUUGUAAAGUACUUUCAGCGAGGAGGCCUUAGUGAUUGACUACUCGCAGGAUAAGCACCGGCUAACUCCGUGCCAGCCGCCGCGGUAAUAC